rnacentral:rRNA from 1 species
UGCAGUCGACGAUUAACUUUCCUUCGGGAAAGAUAUAAAGUGGCGCACGNCCUUUUUAACACGUAGGUAAUGUGCCUUUGGGUGGGGAAUAACNUAUGGAAACUUAAGCUAAUACCGCAUAAUGCAGCGGCUUCUUCGGAAGACAGUUGUUAAAGAUUUAUCGCCUAAAGAGCAGCCUGCGGCAGAUUAGCUAGUUGGUAAGGUAAUGGCUUACCAAGGCUACGAUCUGUAACCGACCUGAGAGGGUGGUCGGUCACACUGACACUGAAUAACGGGUCAGACUCCUACGGGAGGCAGCAGUCGGGAAUUUUGGGCAAUGGGCGAAAGCCUGACCCAGCAACGCCGCGUGAAGGAUGAAGUCUUUCGGGAUGUAAACUUCGUAAGAAUAGGAAGAAUAAAUGACGGUACUAUUUGUAAGGUCCGGCUAACUACGUGCCAGCAGCCGCGGUAAUACGUAGGGACCAAGCGUUGUUCGGAUUUACUGGGCGUAAAGGGCGCGUAGGCGGCGUGUCAAGUCAAUUGUGAAAUCUCCGAGCUUAACUCGGAACGGUCAAUUGAUACUGAUGUGCUAGAGUGCAGAAGGGGCAAUCGGAAUUCUUGGUGUAGCGGUGAAAUGCGUAGAUAUCAAGAGGAACNCCUGAGGCGAAGACGGGNUUNCUGGGCUGACACUGACGCUGAAGCGCGAAAGCUAGGGUAGCAAACGGGAAUUANANACCCCCGGUAGUCCUANGCCCUAAAACGAUGAA